rnacentral:lncRNA from 1 species
GGAGAGCGACGCAGUGCAGCAUGGGUACUGUAGUCAGGUCGAUGAAAGGGCGGAGCUGAUGUGAGCAGGUGCACCACCUUGUCAGAAAAAAAAGUACUCCUUUGGGGUUACUUUUUACUUAGCUUAUACGGUGGCCGAGAACUGCCACUGCUGCAAAGAAAAAAGAAUGCAAAAAAAGAAGGCACAAUGGAAGUUACUGAUGGAAAAAAAAGAAACCGAAGCCUGCUGCAAAUAAAAGAAGAAACGGUGCAGAUAAAAAAAAAAAAGAAGCCACAACAGAAGUUAAUAUCGAAAAAAGUGGAAGGGUUAUUGUUUAAUUUUGCUUCGUGUGCUUUUAAUGUGUCAUUUGGUUAGGCCACGUUGUGCCUGAGUUAAUAUGAAGUUGAACUGGAGGAUGCUGGUGUAGUGUUAGCUUCAGUUCACCUUCGUAUCAACUCAGGUGUUACAGGCCUAACCAAAUGACACAUUGAAAAGCACACAAAGUGAAAUUAAAUGAUAACCUUUCCACUUCUUUGCUCAUCUUCUCUUCGUCAUCUUCUGUGCCCAGAUCGUAAAACACCGGUGCAUCAUCAUUCUUGGUCCCCGGCAGCUCACGUCCAUUGUGGCUUUUUUUCUUUUGCAUCCUUUUAUUUUCGCAGUAAGUAACUUUUUUCCAUCACCACUUUUUUUUUGUGUGUCGUUAACUUCCAUUGUGGCUUUUUUUUCCCAUCUGCACAGUUUCUCUUUUUAUUUGCAGCAGGCUUCAUUUUUUUUUUCUUUUUCUUUUGCAUCAGUAACUUCCGUUGUGACUUCUUUUUUUGCAUUCUUUUUUUAUUUGCAGCAGUGGCGGUUCUCGGCCACCAUAAACUUAACCCAAUUGAUAAUAAAAAAAAAGGAACCACAUGUUUGUUUUUAUUUUUGCCUCCAUUCUUGUUUUAAUGUGUCUAAUUUAUGUGUUAUACUGACUUUUAUAUUUAUUGUUGAAUUUUGGACAGGUGUUAUAAACUGCCUUUGUGUGGCACCAAUAAUCAUGAUCCAUACUGGUCCCAGAACAAAAUGAAGAAAGAUCAAGAAAGUAAAUGAAACUUUUAUCAGCAGGUGAACUAUAAUGCAGCAGUUUAAUUAGGCCAUACUGUUGGAAAACAACAUUAAUUAACAUAGGACUACUAUCACAUGGACUACCAAGCUUAAUCAUAGCAUUUUGUGCCUCCAAUUUUCUUUUAAACCAGUUCAAAUUUAGUGCUUUCCUACACUAUGCCACUCUGUGGAUUAUCAUUAAAAACUCAUAUCAUGUACUUCAAAUGACCUGCCACUUUUGGCAAAUGUCAUUUAAAUUGAAGUUAAUAUUAUCUGAUGAUAAUUCAAGUGGUUUCAUCUUAGAAAAUGUUUUACAUGGAUGCAGGAUCAUUAUCUUUGGAUUGAAAGGUAAUUUGAAAUGGAUCACAAAAUUUUUAAUCCAUAAAAUUAGAAGAAUAGGGGUUAUGUUACAGUCAUUGAAAUGAUGUAGACCCAGAUUAGUUUCUAAUUAAUAUUCCAGAUUAUUAUUUUAAUUUAUUUCCCCCACCAUGAUAACUUUAUGACAGUGAUUUUUGUGCAAAAGCCUGUUUAACUUAAACUCCAGCUAUAAUCAUCAUCAUUUAACCACACUGGACUUUGUUGUUCCUUCACUGCCACAAGUUUAGGCAUGAUGACCAUUCCAAUUUUUUCAACUUACAAAAAAGAGAGUUAGUUUUAAUCAUUUAUUUGCUUCAUGAUAACUUUUAAAACAUUUCUACAAAUAUUUUUUUACAGUGUUGAGGGUAACUGAGCAGUAGCGGUUUGAGUUGUAAGCUUCCUACAUAACAACCAGAGGUAGAGAAUAGCAAAUGUAGGACACAGAACAACAUCAGCAGCAGCGUUUUCUCCUGUCCAGAAAAAGACAAACUGUUUCACAUUUCUUAGGAAAGGAAUAUUCAGGAGCUAAAAACAGGAUAAGCACAAGGGACUCGAAUCAAAAGGGAUGCCAGAAAGAAGAAAGAAAUUGUGUUACAAUUUACUUUUUACUACUUUAGUAUACUGAGUUCAAAAUGUGAAUGGGGGUAAUGUAUUUUUAAAACCCUGUCAGCUGACAGUCACUGGAAUAAAAACAACUCUCUGGUAGAUCUGUCACGGGAGCCUAAUAUGAAAAAGUUUGUGCAGUUCUGGCUGCCUGAGUGAGUCUGCAGGCCUAUUUGCAUCCUGUAAACCUGUCCCAGUAAACUAAUUGGCGUUACUAAUAGAUGGCUGGAUGAACCCCAGCCCUGUAUGGUAAUGAAUUCACACGAUCUGGUGUCAUAGCUGAAGAAAUUGUUAAAAUGCAAAUGAAUGAUGACCCUGUUAUGUGUCUUUCAAUUUAGGCAUCCACAUUACCAGUGCAUGACAAUGAGCCCCUUGUUCAUGCACAAAAAUACAAUCAGGCCUCCGGUGCAGGAACAGGUCAACAUGAGGCCUGGACAGAGAACAGCUGAUUUAAGGAGAGGCCUUUUAAAAUGAGCUAAUUUGAACAAUAUUUUUAGAAGUUCAACCUUAUUUUGAUUUUAUAACUAUAAACUUACAUAAUAUAAUUGUUCAUUUCACUGUCAGACAGUCUCUUGUGUAGGAAAGUGUGUAAAAAUGCACUCUGGAUAGCCUUGCAUGCAUUGUAGUUCCUCAUGUUUUGGUGUGUAAAUGACUUUUCUACAAAAUUUUCUAAACUUCUUCACCACUUACGUAUUCCCUGUCUGAUAAGUCUCUUUUGCCACUAACAGAUGUAAAAAUACAGCACUGUCCUUGCAUGUAAACCAAUUGAGCCUGAUGUUUAUGAUAAUCUGUAACAUUUUUUCAUCCUCCAAAAAGACAAAGAUUGUGCUUUAAGAAAAAGAAAGAGUUUUCCUGGCAGGGCUUUCCACAACUGGACAGCAAAUUUAUCCCAAAAUUAUAGUUCUUUUUCAAACUUGAAUAUAGAGGAAAAUUAUCACAUUGUCGCACGUCAUCCGACAGACUUAGAGGAAAUCAGUCCAAAUGUCUUCAGAGUUAUGUAUUUAUUUUCUCAAUAAGAACAACAGUUGUAAUACAGUUUAGUUUCAUUUCCAACACUGUUUUUAGGGCACACCCUAAAGAAACUUGCCGAAGAGUCAUAUUCCUGAGCAAAUAAAGCUUUCUGUGUGAGUGAUUUUCCACUUUCUGCCUCCGGAGGUCGCUGUAGAUCCCAACUUAUACACCUUCAUUCUUUUUUCAAUUCUGUCCAAAAAAGCCAUACUUUACAGAUAAGAUCACACAGUGAAAACAUCAAAGAAGUGCUGAUGGACAGGGCAGAGACUGAAGUACUUUGUCAUUUCGUGCUUUAAUGAAGUGCUGCGUAUUUGGAUGGAAAAAAUAAAUAUUGUGUAUAUUGAAGUAAAGCAAGACAAUCAAGCAUGAAUUAGUAGGCAGUCUUAACGGUUCAUGCAAGUUCAUGUCAAGAAAAAAAAUCUGUUGAAAUCUACCAGAAAGAUCGAUUCAAGGAAAAGCCUUAGGUAACAAUUCAGACUGUUUAACUGAGUACUUCAGAGAUUCUGUCUUUGUUUGACAGUGUUAACUAUAUUCAGCUUUUCAUCAGGGUUUUAUAUUUAAAGGUGUUCAACACAGACAGCUGUUUGCAAGUAAAAAAGAAUGAUGAAGAUGAUCCUUAUCUGUACCCCAUGUGAUGCAGCCUAAAUGGCAUCUCAGCAUGCUUUCUCAGUGAUUUACUUUUUGAAAUCAUGUUAAAUUGAGCAUCCAAAAAACAGCUUAAUGUCAUCUUCUCUCCUUCUCUCCUUAAUUUUGUCUAAGAAUCAUUUGUUAAUAUCUCUUGAGCUUUUUCUUUACUUCCACUUUUCCAUUUCUUUCUGUUGACAGAGAAAUAUCCUUACAUCAGUUGCAAGUUUUCUGUGAAUUUGACUAGCAAUUUUACUGGUAAAUCUGGGGAUAAAGAUGUUUAAGCUCAUUUAAAUUCACAGUAAAUUCUGUUUUUAGCGUUUAAAGCACUAGGGGUCCAAAAUAAUAAUUUAAACCCAUAAGCAGUAGCUCAAAGGGGAUACAGAAAAGGCUAGAUUCGGGGUAAGUGCCUCACACACAUGACAUUUUAUUAGGCAACUCUUGCUGAUUUGAGGGAGGACCAUAAAGUAAAACUGUUUGUAGUAAAGUUUUAAUAAGAAUUUAAAGUGAACAUGUUAAUUUAUGACACAGAGAGUCUUCUUAAAAGUUUCAGUUUCUCUAUCAUUGGCAACAUGUUUUGCAAUAAGUGGGAAAUGUAAAUGUGUUUUGGACCUUGGCCUUUUUACCUUGGAACACUGGCAGGAAAUGAAAAAAAAAACAUAUUGUAAACAAAUGAUAGGCAGAGCAAAAUUUAUUCAAGCAAAGUGUGGUAAUAUUUUAACUAAGUGUCUGAUUUUGGUUUUAAUAAUAAUAAAAUGUCAUUAGAAUAAAUAUAAAAUUGACUCAAAACAAGCUCCAAACUUCCAGUGAAUAAACCUUAAUAAUUAAGAAACCUAAGACCACUUUCAUCCAUCUAUUUAUCAAUGAAAACAUCAUUCCAUUCAACCAUGCAUCCAUCCAUCCAUUAAAACAUCAAUUCAUUCUUCCUUCCAUCCAUCCAUUCAUCCAUCGAUCCAUCCAUCCAUGAAAAUACUAAUCCAUUCAUCAAUCUAUCUAUCCAUCCAUCCAUCGAUGAAAACAUCCAUCCAUCCAUCCAUGAAAAUACUUAUCCAUCCAUCCAUCCAUGAAAAUACUUAUCCAUUCAUCAAUCUAUCUAUCCAUCCAUCCAUGAAAACAUCCAUCUAUCCAUCCAUGAAAAUACUAAUCCAUUCAUCAAUCCAUCCAUCCAUGAAAACAUCCAUCCAUCCAUCCAUCCAUCCACGAAAAUACUAAUCCAUUUAUCAAUCUAUCCAUCCAUCUAUAAAAGCAUCCAUCCAUCCAUCCAUCCAUCGAAGAAAACAUCAAUCUGUUCAUCCAGCCAUUCAUCUAUGAAAACAUAAAUCUAUUCACUUUUUUAUACACUCUUACAUGAAAACAUUAAUUUUUUUAUCCAUUUAUCUUUUAUCUUUAAUUUAUCUUUUUACCUACCCAUCAGUGAAAGUUUCAAUUCAUCCAUUCAACCGUAAAUUUAUUCAUUCUUUUAUUAUCCUUUUUUCCAAAAAUCACCCAUCCACAUCUCCAUCCAUUUUUCAUCCCUCCAUACAAUCAUCCAUAUCAGUCCAUCAACUGGCCUUUGAUCCAUCCAUCCAUCAAUCCAUCCAGACAAUAUUGUAAAAAAAAUCUUCCUAUCUACCUACCAAGCUUUCCCUCUUUUCAUCCAUGUGUUUUCCCUUCCAUCCAUUCAUCUAUCCAUCCGUCCAUCUUUCAGUCCAAGAACCUCAACAUCAUGCAGCUGCAAGCAUUUUCCACAGUGUGUCCAACAGUUCCCCUCAUCAUUUCUGUAAUAGAGGCGAUGCAGGAGGGGAGACACUCUGGGAGACUCUGGCCGGCUGACAGAGUGAGAGGAAAGAAAGGAGGGGGGAGGCAGACAGAUGUUUGAAUCUCAGCCUGGGACCUGAUGAGAUCCAACCAUCCUCCAAGGCUUAGACAAUAACCGAGAGAAGGAAGCAAUGUCUAUUAGGACAAUUGGCUGCCCUCUUUCCUUUCUGUAUCCAAGACAGCUUGAUCAUCCUUUUUUUUCUCCUCCCAGAGGUGAGCAGUAUCUCCAAACCCAUGAUAGGUUUUAACAUCCUGAACAAAGCCUUCAAUAAGGGGGAUAGAGGUCAAUCUGUUUGAGGUGAAAUAAUGGCCAACAUAUAAUAUUUUGACGCCAGAUAGAAGACACAAAACCUCAUAGAAAAAUUUUUGGGGAUUUCAUUUAAAAAGUGCUUUUCUUGGCCUAAAAAUCAGAUCUUUUAGAUCAUAUUUCAGGAUUACAACAUGAAAUUGUUGCUUGAAGAUUCUUAAUUUGGAAAAUAGGGCUAAAAAAUACUAAGGCAGAUACUCAGUUUUUCUAUUCUAUCAUAUUUCAAUUCAAAGUACAGACUUAACGCACUUGUACCUGUCAAACAAGGCCAUAAACUUUACUUAGAGACUGACAAUGUGACAACUCCCCAAAAGUUGUGAAAAACACACCUGGUGGUGACUGGCUUCAGUUAAGGUCAUGUAAAUAACAAUUAAAAACUUUGGUCCAAAUGUGUUAUUUUGUUAUAGAGUGUAUUCUUAUUACGCUGACUUUGGGUCUGUAUCCACUAAAAGUGUCCUCCACACCACCAGGAACCUCUAUAAUUUCUGUAGGACUCUCAUCAGCGCAAACUGUUGCAGGAUUAGUUUUCCUCCUGACUCAAGAGUCAGUUACUGUAAGUUGUUCAUGCAUCGCAGACUGCGCUGACUUCAGAAAUCCUCUGUGUCUUCAAUGUAUGUUUAUCAUGUGCUUUGAUUAGUGGAGAGGUUGCGAAGUCAAAAUCAACUCCACCUGCUGAUACCCACUCCAGCACCAAAAACAUUUGCAGCAUUUGGUUUCACUACAUGGUAGGAGAAGGUGGACACAUGUUACCCUCACAAAGUCAAUGGAUAAAACCAGUACAGCUCUCUGUUCCUUACACUCUCCAAAAGAAAAAAAAAUCAAGUCUUUUGUUUUUCCAACUGAGGGUGGGAGGAAGUUGGUCAUUACAGUUUAAUAAUCUGAUAAUCUGGCCCAGUGUGGCUGCUGUUGUAGUCUGGAAUGCAGCCAUUUCGACUGAGUGUAAAAUAUUCAUGAGCAUCCAAUGGAAGCCCAUCUGACUGGCUGGGGAACAGCUGCUGGGUCUCUGUGCCUCUAGAGGUGCAGCAUCUGUCCAUUUGAAGGGAGUGAAUAUGUGUUUGUGUAAGUGUGUAAAAAGUGUGUGUCUCCAAGUGUGUGUGUCUGCCUUUCUAGACAAGUGAGUGUGUAUGAGAGCCCACACUCUGAUCUAUGUGUGUGCGUGUCUCAUGGGGACCAGACAUCAGGAGGAACAACUGUGUAUUUAACUUGCUUCUCUCCAGAUGGUGGCGGAUCAUUUUAGAAAUGAUCAAAAAGCUAGUCUCAAUUUUAUCAGGAUAUGUGCUUGUCAAUCAAAUAUCACUUUCGCUCGUACACAGGAGGAGAGCAGCAUGUGUGCAGUCGACUCUGCUGCGUGUUUAAGUGAAGAUGUCUUGUACAUCUCAAGUCUCUGCCUUUCUAUAUGCAACUGUUGUGUCUCACUAUCAGCACAUCUCAGUCUCACAGUAUGUGUGUGUGUGUACGUGUGUGUGUGUGUGUGUGGGCUGUUCGCACCCGUGCGUGUGAAGCUCACAGAGAGCUGUGCAGUUCUGGCGACGGCUGUAUGAUGGACAUCUGGAAGCCAAAUUGGUUAAUGGCGCCUCCAAGCCAACAGCCAGCCGGCCGUCCCUCCACCGAGCUAAGUGUGUGUGUGCCUGGAAGUGUGUGUGUAUUGCAGGGGGUGGGCUAAAGAAAUGGAGGGGGGGUUCUACAUCUGGCCAGUUGUCCGACCACAGACAAACAUCCCUGUUGAGCAUUUAAGGGCUUUUAUCCUCCAAUUUCUUUUCAUUAUUAUUAUUUUUAAUUUUUUGUUUGUUUUGUCAAACUUCUUUUUCUUCAUUAUCACAGAAAAAAGAAACAAACAAACAAAAAAAACAGUUUUAUUUUUGGUUCCCACAUCACAAAAAUGUUGCAUGAUGCAGCUUUAUAUUUGGGUGCUUUUUCCUGUAAGAAAUGUCUAUGUCUGUACAUAGGAACUGCACACAGCAGCUUCAAAAUAUUUUUUUUCUGCUGGGCAAACUUGGUCGCCUCUCGUAUUUUCCCAAAUGUACAAUCUUAUAUUUGAGCAACAGGAAUUCACCUGAACUCUUGUAGAGAAAGCAGCAGUGGAAGGAGUAGGCAGUAAGUAGGAUCUAAUGUUUUGGAUCGCCGAAAAUCGCCUUCAGGCAAGGAGUUCACAGCUGUGGAGAACGGACUGGUAAUGCUCGGUCACCUCUUGUGACUGGUCAAAAUUUAGGAAACCACAAGUAAGGCCCAGCUAGAGGACCUCAGGCUGCAGUCAGGCUCAUAGAGAGUUAUCAGUUCACAGCUCAAAGAAAAUGUUUGAGUUAAAAGUGAUUGCUAACUUGUGGGUGUCUUUGUGAAUAUUAUAAGGUAGGGAACCCAGGCUGAAGGACGGAUUAUAAUGUAGAUUUAGAGUCAUUCAGCAGUAGAAAAUUUUAGGACAUCUUAUUCUAGACAAUGUACAUCCCUUCACUGAAUUUGAACCCAGCACCUUUUCACUCAACAUCACAGGAUGUUUGACAAUGUGCACCUUUUCGGUCAUGUCACUUCAAUAUUUGGUAACGCUGCAUUAGAGGCCGUCUCAGAUUUUAGUUUGAAGAAAGGAUUACGUGUCCAUCCAAUGAGGGAAGUCCUAAGCCUCCAAAGCGUCCAAGCUGGGAUUCGAACCCAAAACCAUUUUGUUCCGAGGUAGCAGGGCCAAGCAUCACACCACAGGCCUGCUUGUUAAUAUUUACCUAUAAAGUUAUUUCUGUUUUAAUUUUCUAUUGCCUUGUUUCAAAAGCUUAAUAAAGACUUCAGUGUGAGAAGCGCAUUCCAUCCCUGCUUAACAUGGAAAGUUUGUGUUCAGGAUUUGAACCCUGAACUAUUCCAAUCAAAGGUGUUUGCUCACAGCAUGGGUCGGUCGUUUUAUCUCAAGUCUUUUCAUUUCACUGUUUUAUUACAAUGUUUUCAAAGCUGUGUUUAGAGUGAGUGUGGCAAAAGCAUUUAAUUCCUGCUUUGUAUGACAAACAAGGUCAUUUCUACCUUUGAGGGGUCAAUCAUGGUCUCCCUCAGGUGGUUUAAAGUUUGCAAACUGAAUUUUGUUAGCGGCAGUCCUGACAGUCAACUUACAUGACCAAGAUCUGCUGCUGGUUUGUGACAAAGAAUCAUAUCAGCACCUACUGUUUGGAAAUUACAAGAACAGAAGACCUGAAUCAUUUGCAUUUCUUAAAAUUACACUUCAAGAAAAAACUCCAGACCUUAGAGAUAGCUUCUCUAGUUACAGCUGCUGGAUCUAUCCAGGACGAAUAAACAUACAAACAAAGAGAGUAAGAAGGGAAAGGGAGAAUAGGAAACACUAACAUGGACAGAUCUUUAAAUAAAUACAGCCACAGCAGAUGCAUAACCGCCAUAGUCCAAGCCAAGACUGCACAAACAGCCGUGUGAUCUCUUCAAAUCUUUAUUGUGAGAUAUCAGAGAUCUUGUUGAAAUAAAAAGCGUCACUGUAGCCUCUGUUCUGUGUGUCUGUCUCUCUGUCCGCUUGUCUGUCACUGCAGUCCAGAUGUCAGAGGAACCAGCCAACAGCUGUGACAGGAAAUGAGCCCCCAGGCAGUGAAAAGGCCAGUACACUUCCACACGAAACAAAGCCAAAUAUGCACACACACAUGCGCACACACACACACACACACACACACACACACACACACACACACACACACACACACACACACACACACACACACACACACCACUGUGCGAUUCUGAGCAUCUCAAUGACCAUGUUCCUCUAAGAUUCUCCAUGGGUGUAUAAAUAUCAGUAAAACACAAAACAAGGUAUUGUGUGACAGUAACAGUAUUUGUGUGUUCUCAUUGUUGGAUUCAUCAUUUUUAAGUCAAAAUGUGUGUAUAUGGGUGAUAUUAUGCCAGCCUGCCACAUCGCCAGCCCCCGAGCCAGCGGGAACAUUUGCCUUGUGGCUUCAAUUCCCAGGAAUCCCUAACCUGCGCCAGCUGUUGAGAACAUGUUACCUGUGCCAACAAUGUGCCGCCUCUGCCCACCACAUCAGCUGCCGCUCUGUCUCCAUCUGGGUGCAAAAUUGGAUUUUUGUGCAUGUUGUUGUUUGUCAGUGGCUUACUGUAUCUUUAACUCUCGCCACAUCUGUAUUUGUACUCACAUCUGCCUCUCUCAUGUGCAGAGUGUAACUGUGUUUAUGCACGUAUUGAUGUUCCUGAUGUUGUCUGCUCUGCAUGUCUAUGUGUAUGUGUAAACUCUGUGUGAGUAUGUGUGUCUCCAUCUGUGUGUGCGCCGGGCCUCCCUUGCCUGCAUCUGGAGCGCCAUUGAAGAGGCUAUCCAACAAGCCUGCCAAACAGCCCAGAUGUUAGUUCUGUAAGCCUCGGGCUAAAUGGGGGGGAGCCAUACUCUCUCUAUACAGGGAUAGUAAAUUACAACCUUUUUUCAAUUACAACCUUGUUUUUAAUACUUCCUAUGCUGAUCUAUCUAUCUAUCUAUCUAUCUAUCUAUCUAUCUAUCUAUCUAUCUAUCUAUCUAUCUAUCUAUCUAUCCAUCUAUCUACAAUAAUAAAUACAUGUAUACAAAUGAGCUUUUAACGUGUCUUACUCAGUCAGUACAUUAACAUGCAUAGCCAAGUCGAACUACAAUUAUAGUUCAACUAGGCGAUUUUUAAAUGGACCACUGUUCUUAUACCAGUUUACAAAGACAAAAUUAAAAUACUGAGACAAAAGUGUCUUCUGCAGCUAUGAUAAGUG